GCAGAUAUGCAUAGUUCCGACUACCGACCCAAGCUCCGCCCACCUUGGUUACUGCUGCUACGUCCCCCAAGCUUUGGGAUGCCGAGCUGUCAAAAUGGCGGAUACACGGUCAGGCACCGUUUGCCUGUUGACAGGUCCCGACACAAUAUCUGUUGCAUUCUUGCCAGAUCAUCCUACUUUGACGCAGAAAUCGCAACAGACAGGCUUACACUAUUUCUUCACAGGGUUAUAUCCAUGAGAUACGAGCUUAUAACCGUGACAACACCUCUGACAUUGCUGCUAUGUGCUGGGGGUCAAUGUCGAAGAAUCGGAGCCCGCAUACCCUCCAUUCGAGGAUUGACACAAGCGCCGAGAAGAUCGUUCACAGCUAUUGUUCUUGUAAAGCUGGAUUUGGUGAAAGAUGUUCCCACAUCUUUGGCCUUGUGAAGACACUUCAGGGAUUGAAGCCUCACAAUUUCACGCACAUUCAUGAAAAACAGUUGCACCAGCCUCCAGCAACAGUGGUAGAUUCACAGGGGCAGCAAGAUCAUCCCAGUGCCUAUCAACCAAGUGGUUGUGGCUCAACCUCUUGCCCAGUCUAGAAAUAGGAAGCCAAUCAUUUGUCAAGUUCAAUGACACCAGACUUCCACAUAUUACCCCACUGCAGUAUGUGCUACAGACAGAUGCACCCCGGUGACUAAACACUCUGCUCGGAGACGUCUAGCUUGGGAUCAGUCUUGUCAUAUCAGAUGAAAUCACGUGCAGUAUCAACUACCUGCGCCCCCAUCAAGUUUCCGAAAAUGUCACCUGUACAACUCGCUGCUGGGUAUGAAGAUCUUAAUGCCCAGUAUCAACUUACAGAUCCUGGAAAAGAUCUAAGAUCUAAUCGUCUUACAGCUUCCAACUUCGGAAAGGUUAUGAACAGAAAGAAGAAACCUACACUAUCUUUCCUCAACAGUCUUUUUCCCAAGACUGCUUUGCAUUCAGUAUCUCUUUCCUAUGGCAUGAACAUUGAAGUACAGGCCAAGAAAACAUAUUUAGAACACAAAAUCUCAAACCAUCUACAUGAGAGUGGACUAGUAAUCAACAAUAAUUUCAGUUUCCUUGGAGCCACUCCUGAUGGCAAGAUAUAUUGUUGUGAAAAGGAGAACAGAAUUAUUGAAAUUAAAUGCCCGAACUCAGCUUGACACUUUACACUUGAAGAAGCAUGAGAAAAGAUAACAAAUCUAUUUUUGCAGAAGGAGGAAAUUGCCAUUCUCAAACUAUCCAACAGACAUGCUCACUAUGCCCAAAUUCAGGCACAAUUAAUGUUAACCGGGGCUGAGUUCUAUGAAUAUGUGGUUUACACCAAAAAAGAGAGCGUACAUUGAGCGUAUUUUCACAGACAUUGAAUACAUGACAUGUAUGCUAGAAAAGCAUUCUUUAAAGAACAUACCAUUUCUUGACAUGUAAAUUGUACAAUAAUUGAUGGUGUUAACCAUCAAGUGCUUUUGGAUAUUCGUUGUUCACUAUCCUAAUUCAGGAAAAACAAUGUCUCCAUCUUGUUAUGAAAGAUUCUGAAAUUAGCUAUAUAACUUCAAAAUGUUUUAAAUUGAUUAUAAUGGCCUCAUGGUUUUGAUUUGCUAAUACUAUCAGCUUCAACUGAAUAUGGAAUUAAGAUUUUGCCUUAAGUGCCAUAAUUGACUGCCCCCAACUGAGCUUUUCCAUGUUAUACUUACAUGAUUCAUCAGUCUGUGUACCUUGAUUCUCUUCAACAGACACUUCCUGGGGGAUAUUUCUCUGUUUGCUUGAAACAGUUGUCUGAAAUAACAUUUUUUUUAGAAAAAUAGUUAUUUGUAGUAAAUAUGUGGCAAUAUUGUAAUAUCAUAUUUUUUGUAAAUCUAAAUUAGGUAAAUUCAUGAGUAAGUAAUUUACCCUUAUAGCCGUUGUCACUUUACUUCUUUAUUUUCUUUAUAUUCAUAUAUUUUCUUUAUAUUCAUAUAUUUUCUAUAUAUUCAUCUCCAUGUAUAGAUCUCAUUUAUUUUGGACAGAUUAUUCAUCUUACACAAUGGUUUAAUCUUCUUGUUUUGUUAUUUUAGAUUUGUUAGUUUUAUUUACAGGUAUAUUUUGUUAUCACACUUGUUUCUGUAUAAUUUGUUACAGAUCAAUCGUUUUUACAUGCAUCAAAUUAUGUAAUAAUUUAUCAUAAUUGCACAACUUUGAGGUCAACCAUUUCAGGUGUACUUAUAUUUAAGUUUUGUGUUGUUAUUUUUAUGCUUUAUAUUUAUAUGUUGUUAUCGCUCUUGUUUUAUAAUAACAUGGUUAUACGUUUUGGGGAUGCAUGAAAUAAGUUGAUAAUUUUUCUUCAUUGUCCAAAUUUUGGGAUUAAAUAAAGUCAUCAUACACUGACAAGUGAGGACAAAAUAAAAAAUAGAUGAGGUACUA